ensembl:snoRNA Snora74a small nucleolar RNA, H/ACA box 74A
UCCAGCAGUUGUCAGCUAUCCAGGCUAUGUGGUGCCCGAGAUCGUGUUACACUGUUGGAAGAGUAAACACUGCCUUACUAAGGGUCGGCUCCCAGCACUGUUUUGGUGUCUGGUGCUGAGUACUUUCAGGCAGUAUUGCAUCCCUGAGAGUGGAAUGACUCCUUGUGGAGUUGGUCCUGGUCUGGGUGCAAACAAU